AUUGAACGUUGGCGGCAGGCUUAACACAUGCAAGUCGAGCGGGGGAAGGUAGCUUGCUACCGGACCUAGCGGCGGACGGGUGAGUAAUGCUUAGGAAUCUGCCUAUUAGUGGGGGACAACAUCUCGAAAGGGAUGCUAAUACCGCAUACGUCCUACGGGAGAAAGCAGGGGAUCUUCGGACCUUGCGUCAAUAGAUGAGCCUAAGUGGGAUUAGCUAGUUGGUGGGGUAAAGGCCUACCAAGGCGACGAACUGUAGCGGGUCUGAGAGGAUGAUCCGCCACACUGGGACUGAGACACGGGCCAUACUCCUACGGGAGGCAGCAGGGGGGAAUAUUGGACAAUGGGGGGAACCCUGAUCCAGCCAUGCCGCGUGUGUGAAGAAGGCCUUAUGGUUGUAAAGCACUUUAAGCGAGGAAGAGGCUCUUUUGGUUAAUACCCAAGAUGAGUGGACGUUACUCGCAGAAUAAGCACCGGCUAACUCUGUGCCAGCCGCCGCAGUAA
rnacentral:rRNA from 1 species